rnacentral:misc_RNA from 1 species
CCGAGUUAGGGUCCUCCACGGCCCGAACCUCCAACCCUUGUGUUUAACCGUACCACGUUGCUUCGGCGGGCCCGUCCCCUCUGGGGGGGCCGCCGGGCUGUGUCACAACAGUCUGGCCCGUUGCCCGUCGACAGCCCCAACUUCAAAACUCUUGACAAACCGUGUCGUCUGAGUACAAACAAGCAAAAUCAAAAACA